GACGAACGCUGGCGGCGUGCUUAACACAUGCAAGUCGAGCGGAGCGGCGAACGGGUGAGUAACGCGUGAGUAACUGCCCCCCUCUCUGGGAUAACAGUUGGAAACGGCUGCGAAUACCGGAUAGUGGGGGAUGAAUCGCGUACUAUCAGCUUGCUGGUGGGGUAGUGGCCUACCAAGGCGACGACGGGUAGCUGGCCUGAGCGGGCGACCGGCCACAUUGGGCUGAGAUGCAGUCCAAACUCCUACGGGAGGCAGCAGUGGGGGAUAUUGCACAAUGGGGGCAACCCUGAUGCAGCAACGCCUCGUGCGGGAUGACGGCCUUCUGGUUGUAAUCCGCUUUCAGCCAUGACGCGGUAGUGGCAGAAGAAGCACCGGCUAACUACGUGCCAGCAGCCGCGGUAAUUC
rnacentral:rRNA from 1 species